GGCUGGUCCAAAGAUACUGAGUUAUCUCAAUUGAUUGUUCACCAUCAUUUACAGAUCAAACCCCUUGUUCUACUCUUUCCCCCCUUCUCACUACUGCUCUUGACUAGCCUUUG
ensembl:Y_RNA Y_RNA Y RNA